AUACGGAGGGGGUUAGCGUUGUUCGGAAUUACAGGGCGUAAAGCGUACGUAGGCGGACUGGAAUGUUGGGGGUGAAAUCCCGGGGCUCAACCCCGGAACUGCCUCCAAAACUUCCAAUCUAGAGAUCGAGAGAGGUGAGUGGAAUUCCAAGUGUAGAGGUGAAAUUCGUAGAUAUUUGGAGGAACACCAGUGGCGAAGGCGGCUCACUGGCUCGAUACUGACGCUGAGGUACGAAAGCGUGGGGAGCAAACAGGAUUAGAAACCCCAGUAGUCC
rnacentral:rRNA from 1 species